rnacentral:rRNA from 1 species
CACGUAGGGCGCAAGCGUUGUCCGGAAUUAUUGGGCGUAAAGAGCUCGUAGGCGGUUUGUCGCGUCUGCUGUGAAAACUCGGGGCUUAACCCCGGGCCUGCAGUGGGUACGGGCAGACUAGAGUGCGGUAGGGGAGACUGGAAUUCCUGGUGUAGCGGUGAAAUGCGCAGAUAUCAGGAGGAACACCGGUGGCGAAGGCGGGUCUCUGGGCCGUAACUGACGCUGAGGAGCGAAAGCGUGGGGAGCGAACAGG